CUGCACAAGUUAGUGGUUACUUGGGCAUGGUUGCUCUCUCAUUUCAGAGUCUCCUUUUGAAGUGGUUCAAAGGUAGAGAGCACUUUAGGAGAAUGGUGUGUUUUAAAACCUGGCUGGCAUUUACAAUGUUCUGCUCUGUUCUUCUCUGCAUUAGCUAUAAGAUAGUGGGAACAACUUCAGAAGAUGCAGAGUGAGUUUUGAUGGGAAAGAGACUCUUCAUGGGCUACUCUAGAACAAACAAUGGAAACGGAUCACAGGAAAGAAUGAAGGACAUGGUUCAUGUCUGAUUCAGGUGAUUUCUACAAACAGUUCCAGGAGCUUUCUCCAUUCUCCCAGUUGAGAUUGGCAUUAUGCUUAGAGAAGAAAAAGCGUCUCAAAAGAAAACUAGUCACUCUUGAGGUAGAAUUGCCUCACCUGAAGAGGGAGGAGGUAUUUUUCCUUUUCUCUGAGUCAAGAACUCAUGAUCACCAUCACCCAACCCUGCUCACACACACCCUGACCACCACGGGUCUCUAGGCACUUUAAAUUCUAUGAUUUAUAUGAACUCUUACAGGGACGCAGCUGUUCUCCUGGGCAUAUUCACAACACGUUUUUCCACCCACUCACCUCCCAAGGUGGGUUCUUAAGCAAGUAGCAAAAUGAGGUGUGGGCACUGACACAAAGACCAAUGAGGCAUUUUAAGAGAAGUUAAAUUCAGGAAGCUUUAGGGAAACAAACAAAAAUAAAUUUUAAGAAAUCUGUUUGCAUGGAAAGAUAAAACAAUAAUAGAAUGAGAGAGAGAGAGAGAGAGAGA
rnacentral:lncRNA from 1 species